GGAGAGGUGCCAGAGUGGUUGAAUGGGCCGGUCUCGAAAACCGUUGUGCAUGCAAGUGCACCGAGGGUUCGGAUCCCUCUCUCUCCACCA
rnacentral:tRNA from 1 species